rnacentral:rRNA from 1 species
AUACGUAGGGAGCGAGCGUUAUCCGGAAUUACUGGGCGUAAAGGGCGCGUAGGCGGCCCGGUAAGUCUGGAGUGAAAGUCCUGCUUUUAAGGUGGGAAUUGCUUUGGAUACUGUCGGGCUUGAGUGCAGGAGAGGUAAGUGGAAUUCCCAGUGUAGCGGUGAAAUGCGUAGAGAUUGGGAGGAACACCAGUGGCGAAGGCGACUCUCUGGACUGAUACUGACGCUGAGGCACGAAAGCGUGGGGAGCAAACAGGAUUAGAUACCCUGGUAGUCCACGCUAUAAACGAUGAGUGCUAGGUGUCGGGGGUCAAACCUCGGUGCCGCAGUUAACACAUUAAGCACUCCGCCUGGGGAGUACGGCCGCAAGGCUGAAGCUCAAAGGAAUUGACGGGG